UACAGAGGGUGCGAGCGUUAAUCGGAAUUACUGGGCGUAAAGCGCGCGUAGGCGGCUUCGCAAGUCGGGUGUGAAAUCCCCAAGCUCAACUUGGGAACUGCAUUCGAGACUGCGUUGCUAGAGUAUGGGAGAGGGAAGUGGAAUUUCAGGUGUAGCGGUGAAAUGCGUAGAUAUCUGAAGGAACAUCAGUGGCGAAAGCGACUUCCUGGACCAAUACUGACGCUCAUGUGCGAAAGCGUGGGGAGCGAACAGG
rnacentral:rRNA from 1 species